rnacentral:rRNA from 1 species
UGUUUAUGGGUUUUUAUCAUAAAUAUUUUCUGCCCGGUGAUUUUUAACGGCCGCGGUACUCUGACCGUGCAAAGGUAGCAUAAUCAUUUGCCUUUUUAUUGGGGGCUGGAAUGAAGGGGAUUACGUGAUCUUAGCUGUCUCUUUUUUUUGUUGGAAAUUGCUAUUCUUGUGAAGAAGCAAGAGUUCUAAAAAAAGACAAGAAGACCCUAUUAAGCUUUAUUUAUGUGUUUUAUAAGAAACUACUUAGAAGUAAGUUUUUAUAUUUGUUAAAUUUAAUUGGGGUGAUUAAAGAAGAGAAGAUCUUCUUUUUUCUAACAAACUAUUUGUUUAAAAUAGGGCCAGAAAUUCUGAAAAAGAGAAUAAGUUACUAUAGGGAUAACAGCGUAAUUUUUUCUGAGAGUUCUUAUUGAAGAAAGGGAUUGCGACCUCGAUGUUGACUUAUUAUUUCCUCUUAUGGCGCAGUAGCCAGAAGGGUUAGUCUGUUCGACUAUUAAAAUAGU